rnacentral:rRNA from 1 species
UACGUAGGGUGCAAGCGUUACUCGGAAUUACUGGGCGUAAAGCGUGCGCAGGCGGUGAUGUAAGUCAGAUGUGAAAUCCCCGGGCUCAACCUGGGAACUGCAUCCGAGACUGCAUUGCUAGAGUAUGGGAGAGGGAAGCGGAAUUUCUGGUGUAGCAGUGAAAUGCGUAGAUAUCAGAAGGAACAUCAGUGGCGAAGGCGGCUUCCUGGACCAAUACUGACGAUCAGGUGCGAAAGCGUGGGGAGCAAACAGG